ACACAUGCAAGUCGAACGGUAACAGGAAGAAGCUUGCUUCUUUGCUGACGAGUGGCGGACGGGUGAGUAAUGUCUGGGAAACUGCCUGAUGGAGGGGGAUAACUACUGGAAACGGUAGCUAAUACCGCAUAACGUCGCAAGACCAAAGAGGGGGACCUUCGGGCCUCUUGCCAUCGGAUGUGCCCAGAUGGGAUUAGCUAGUAGGUGGGGUAACGGCUCACCUAGGCGACGAUCCCUAGCUGGUCUGAGAGGAUGACCAGCCACACUGGAACUGAGACACGGUCCAGACUCCUACGGGAGGCAGCAGUGGGGAAUAUUGCACAAUGGGCGCAAGCCUGGAUGCAGCCAUGCCGCGUGUAUGAAGAAGGCCUUCGGGUUGUAAAGUACUUUCAGCGGGGAGGAAGGGAGUAAAGUUAAUACCUUUGCUCAUUGACGUUACCCGCAGAAGAAGCACCGGCUAACUCCGUGCCAGCAGCCGCGGUAAUACGGAGGGUGCAAGCGUUAAUCGGAAUUACUGGGCGUAAAGCGCACGCAGGCGGUUUGUUAAGUCAGAUGUGAAAUCCCCGGGCUCAACCUGGGAACUGCAUCUGAUACUGGCAAGCUUGAGUCUCGUAGAGGGGGGUAGAAUUCCAGGUGUAGCGGUGAAAUGCGUAGAGAUCUGGAGGAAUACCGGUGGCGAAGGCGGCCCCCUGGACGAAGACUGACGCUCAGGUGCGAAAGC
rnacentral:rRNA from 1 species